ACGUAGGGGGCGAGCGUUGUCCGGAUUUAUUGGGCGUAAAGGGCGUGUAGGCGGUCUGCUAAGUCAGAGGUGAAAAUCCAGGGCUCAACCCUGGAACUGCCUCUGAAACUGGUGGACUUGGGUGCUCUAGAGGGCAGUGGAAUUCCCGGUGUAGCAGUGAAAUGCGUAGAGAUCGGGAGGAACAUCUGUGGCGAAGGCGACUGCCUGGACCAGCACUGACACUGAGGCACGAAAGCGUGGGGAGCAAACGGGA
rnacentral:rRNA from 1 species